rnacentral:ncRNA from 1 species
GAGUAGAGCCUGCUGUUCAAUUCGACUGAACACGGGAAAACUCACCCGGCUCGGACACUGUAAAGAUUGACGGAAUGAUAGCUCUUUCUUCAUUUGGUCGGUGGUGGUGCAUAACCGUUCUUGUUGGUGCAGCAAAUUGUCCAGGUGAUUCCGAUAAUCUGUUAAAUGGUAGACCGGUUUUCUGUGCUCGUUUAGGGCACGGCUUUUAUUGUUUUUUUCAUUUAGUAGUAUGGUCGUGAUCUGGCGGGUGCGGUGCCAGUUUUUACUUCUUAGAGGGACAAGCGGCACACUGAACAAUAACAGAUGUGUAAUGCCCUUAGAUGUCCGGGGCCACACGUGUGCUAUAAUGACGGUGCCAGUGAAUCUGGAAACCUGGCCCGAGAGGGUUAGGCAAAUUGUUUCAUCACCGUCGUGACUAGAGCAUAGCGAAUUU